rnacentral:rRNA from 1 species
GACGAACGCUGGCGGCGUGCUUAACACAUGCAAGUCGAACGGAAAGGCCUGCUUUCCCUUGUGGAUUGCGGGUACUCGAGUGGCGAACGGGUGAGUAACACGUGAGUGAUCUGCCCCCAACUUGGGUAUAAGCCUGGGAAACUGGGUCUAAUUCCCGAUAGGACUGCAGGGUGGUGCCUGUGGUGGAAAACGAUUUUCUAGUGGUUGGGGAUGAGCUCGCGGCCUAUCAGCUUGUUGGUGGGGUAAUGGCCUACCAAGGCGGCGACGGGUAGCCGGCCUGAGAGGGUGGACGGCCACAUUGGGACUGAGGUACGGCCCAGACUCCUACGGGAGGCAGCAGUGGGGAAUAUGGCACAAUGGGCGGAAGCCUGAUGCAGCGACGCCGCGUGGGGGAUGACGGCCUUCGGGUUGUAAACUCCUUUCGACCGCGAGGAAGCCACCUGGUUGGAAGGGUGGUGACGGUAGUGGUAGAAGAAGCACCGGCUAACUACGUG